AAUGUGAACUAAAAAGGUUUACUGUCUCUGAUAAAUAGGAUUCUCCUGAUAAGGAGUUUACUGAAGAAAUUCUAUCUUACACAGAUACCUUUUACAAGACAGUUGUUUCUUCUUUUAAAGGAGAUGUGAAUGAGGCUGAUACUGCUUUUGAUUACAUUGAGAAUGUUCUCUCCAAGUAUGAUAAUGGACCUUUCUUCCUUGGCCAAUUUAGUUUGGUGGAUAUAGCAUAUGCUCCUUUUAUGGAAAGAUUUCAACCUUUUCUAGUGGAAGUGAAAAAUUAUGACAUUACAUUGGGCAGACCUAAAUUGGCGGCAUGGAUUGAG